rnacentral:rRNA from 1 species
GUGAGGAAUUUUGCGCAAUGGGGGAAACCCUGACGCAGCAACGCCGCGUGAGUGAAGAAGGCUUUCGGGUCGUAAAGCUCUGUCAAGAGGGAAGAAAGUGGAAGGUGGUAAUACUGUUUUCUAUUGACGGUACCUCUGAAGGAAGCACCGGCUAACUCCGUGCCAGCAGCCGCGGUAAUACGGGGGGUGCAAGCGUUAUUCGGAUUUAUUGGGCGUAAAGAGCGCGUAGGCGGUUUAUCAAGUCAGAUGUGAAAGCCCUGGGCUCAACCUGGGAAGUGCAUUUGAAACUAGUAGACUUGAGUAUGGGAGAGGGGAGUGGAAUUCCUGGUGUAGAGGUGAAAUUCGUAGAUAUCAGGAGGAACACCGGUGGCGAAGGCGACUUCCUGGACCAAUACUGACGCUGAGGCGCGAAGGCGUGGGGAGCAAACAGGAUUAGAAACCCUGGUAGUCC